rnacentral:lncRNA from 10 species
GUGCUUUGUUUUGUGGGUCCAUGGGAGCAGGAGUUGUCUCGCUUUCUGCUGAGUCCUCUGCGUCCCCUUCUUGCAGUCAGAGCCCCACAGUUGACGUGUGCUCUUACCGGAAGAAGAUAAUGUUCUUAAACCACUCUUGGUGAAACAAAUGCACUUAUCAUCUCCCCUUCCUACGCCACUUCCAAACCCAAUUCUCUCCAGUGGCUGGUGAUGCUCACCUGGACUGAAUUUCCCAGCUUCUGCCGCAGGUCUGUGAGGCCAUGUGACCUGAGAAGCAGUGAAGGUGGCAGAAGUGGGAUCCACCACAUCCAAGCUCAGGCCAUGAAACUGCCUGUGGCAUCCUCCACACUCUUGCUCUUCUCUCUCCUGCUGGUCAGACAUGGAUGAUCCAGUGGAGGCCUCCAAGGCCCUAGGGGAUGGCAGAACCGCUCGAUAGCAGAUGCUUGGGGCCCUGGAGGACUGCAUGGAUCAAAGCCCCCUCCAACCAACCUUGAUUGUGAAAUGAUGAUGAAAUAAACCUUCAUUAUGGUGUGUCACCGAGAGUUUGAGAUUGUUUGUUAUAGCACUUCAUCUACUCUGAUUAACACAAAAUCUGUUGAAGAGAAAAAAACACAGUAAACUCAGAUGUUUAGUGAUGUUUUCGAUAGCAUUCAUGGGGAAGGAAAAAUGCAACUUGAUUUCCAGACAGCUUAGAAAAAUUCAAAGGGAGAAAGAUUUCCUCUGGGUCAUUUUCACAAAGAAGGAACUCGGCCUGAGCUGAGCCAGAGGGAGUGAGUCACAGUGAAGACCACUGGCUUAUUAAUGGUACCAGGAAGCCUGAAUCCAGUGAAUGUGUCUGGCACUAGGGAUGUGUAUCCAUUAUGACUGAGUUCAGCUCUAUUUAAAAGGAAAACUAAUGACUGAGGCUUAAACAACAUGAGUGUUUAUUUUUCUCUCAAGCUUCAAGUUACAUAGUCCAAGGAUUUAUCAGCUCCAUGGUGACAUCAGGCUUUUUCUAGUUUUUCAAUCCAGAGCCCUUUUUAGAGUGUGGCCUUCAUUUUGUGUUCACAGCUACUAGAGUCCCAGCUGUCAUGUUGACAUUUUGGGGAGAGUACAGGAGGAGAAGUGGAGUGCAUAGGUAUGCACACUGGCUCUGGGGUGCCUGGGAUGCUCUGGCGGCACUCCCUUGGCCAUCUUCACUCCAGCCAGCCAUGUCCAUAGAUCCACACACGUGGUAAGCAUCACACACCAGCCACACCAUGAUGCCUCUUUGCUUUGCUGGAGCCACAGAAGACCACCCAACCACAUGAAAGAACAAUCAGUUAGUAUGGGGGAGCUAAGAACCCAAGGGAGAUCCCAAGCAAUGGGGAACUAGGCAGCCCAGCCUCGUAGUCCUCCACUGAGACGAUCGUGAGGCAUGGUCCACUGUGUGCAGGGUCCCACGGCAGACUGAGGUACUCACUGGCAACUGGCCUAUUAAUGCCUCCUUCACUGCUUUCCUCUCUUCCUUUUUUCCCUCUCCCCCAUUUCUGUUACCUGGGAUGAACUCCAAGAUAAACCACCUGCACCCAAGUUC